AGCGAUUUCGAGUCUGAGUGAUGUUUGGGAUGAUAUUCUGUCUGAGGUUUCCUGUGAUACAAAUACAAUGAGAUGACACUUCAAUUUCACAGUGUACAAAGGCACCAGGGGAACUGAACAGUUCUUCCGUGAUGAGACUGCUAUAGAUAAAACCAAUGAGACAGAAUUCUGACACAACAUACGCCUGUCGUGACAACAUUAUCAGUCAUUUAGAUUCAAACUUCCCAGCCACAGAUCACAUGGAACACUGUGGAAUAUGGGCCCUGUUUAAAAAUUAAGGGGCAUUAGCGGAGACAAAGUGCAUCUUGGAUGUAAUUCAACUUAUCAACAGGCACGAGUAAUGAUCCAACAGCGAGGCACCUUCAGGCUGCAUAUAAUGCCAAUUUGUCCACCUAAUCUAUCCAUCUUGAGCUCUCAAAGGCAAUUAGAAAGCUGCUGCAAAGCACUUUUGGAGAGUGAUACAUUGCCCUGUGGAUAAUUUUUACAGUUCUUGUGAUGGCUGCUGUGGGAACUCCAGGCAAGAUGAGCAUCCUGAAAACAUCCUAACCUCAAAAAUAUGUUUUUCUGUGCUGUAACUUAAGCCGCGGCCAUGUUUGGUAGAAGCCACGUCAUGAUUCAGAGAGGAGAUUCAGAACUUGCAUGGCUUUUUACCCUCUGCUGUGAAUGUUGCUUCCCAGGUUCACCAUGUGACCAUGGCAACCACAGAAAACACAGAAGAAAACGAGGGUGUAACUUUAGUGGUGACUUUUAUAUAACUCACUUGUUUAAAAUAUAUAUUAAAGCUAAAGGUGACCAACGACCGUGUUAACUGGCAGACAGGUGCUGCAGCUGACAAGCUCUGACUAUCUGGAUGAAUAAACAUUUGGAGUUACGAAGAGCACAGAGUUAGUUUUUUAGCUUUGGGGGUUAAAAAGUAGAUUUGUCUUCACUCUCACUUCUCAGCAUCAAAAGCAGCCAGUCACAAAUGUGUCGAAAUCCACUGUGAUCUAACUUGAGUGUUGUUCUAUUUUUUGGAAUGCUGAAUGGAUGUUUCUUUAUGAAUAUACAGAAUGGUGAUGGAAAAAGAAAAGAUAUUACCAGAUAGUCAGAGUCUCUGGUGAGUGCUGAGUUUAGUCGGAGACUGAGGUGUAUACAAACACACAGACACAUACUCCCCUCUAUAGCUGUUGUUGCUAGCUAUCUUGCAGCUAAUGAACAGUAAGGUAUACUGGCUGUUUGCAGUGAAUAAACCCGCAGUAAAACUCAUGUGGUAAACUAGAUCAAACGCAAAUGAUCUUGCAAUCAAACUUGUGAACACAACCACCUUCUUAGCCUUAGCUAGCUCGGUAGCUGUCAGCCAAUAGGACGUG